rnacentral:rRNA from 1 species
UCCGUAGGUGAACCUGCGGAGGGAUCAUUACCGAGUUAUCCAACUCCCAACCCCUGUGAAUUAUACCUUUAAUUGUUGCUUCGGCGGGACUUCGCGCCCGCCGGGGACCCAAACCUUCUGAAUUUUUUUAAUAAGUAUCUUCUGAGUGGUUUAAAAAAAAAUGAAUCAAAACUUUCAACAACGGAUCUCUUGGUUCUGGCAUCGAUGAAGAACGCAGCGAAAUGCGAUAAGUAAUGUGAAUUGCAGAAUUCAGUGAAUCAUCGAAUCUUUGAACGCACAUUGCGCCCGUCAGUAUUCUGGCGGGCAUGCCUGUUCGAGCGUCAUUACGCCCCUCAAGUCCCCUGUGGACUUGGUGUUGGGGAUCGGCGAGGCUGGUUUUCCAGCACAGCCGUCCCUUAAAUUAAUUGGCGGUCUCGCCGUGGCCCUCCUCUGCGCAGUAGUAAAGCACUCGCAACAGGAGCCCGGCGCGGUCCACUGCCGUAAAACCCCCCAACUUUUUAUAGUUGACCUCGAAUCAGGUAGGACUACCCGCUGAACUUAAGCAUAUCAAUAAGCGGAGGGA